GACAGAGGGUGCAAACGUUGCUCGGAAUCACUGGGCGUAAAGGGCGUGUAGGCGGGGAUGUAAGGCGGGCGUGAAAGCCCCAGGCUCAACCUGGGAACUGCACUCGAAACUGCGUUUCUUGAGUAUCGGAGAGGAAAGCGGAAUACCUGGUGUAGAGGUGAAAUUCGUAGAUAUCAGGUGGAACACCAGUGGCGAAGGCGGCUUUCUGGACGAUUACUGACGCUGAGACGCGAAAGCGUGGGGAGCAAACAGG
rnacentral:rRNA from 1 species